rnacentral:rRNA from 1 species
UCGCCCUACGGGCCGCAGCAGUGGGGAAUAUUGCACAAUGGGGGGAACCCUGAUGCAGCGACGCCGCGUGAGUGAAGAAGUAUUUCGGUAUGUAAAGCUCUGUCAGCAGGGAAGAAGAAAGACGGUACCUGACCAAGAAGCCCCGGCUAACUACGUGCCAGCAGCCGCGGUAAUACGUAGGGGGCAAGCGUUAUCCGGAUUUACUGGGUGUAAAGGGAGCGUAGACGGCAGGGCAAGUCUGGAGUGAAAGCUCG